rnacentral:rRNA from 1 species
GCAGUCGAGCGGACAGAUGGGAGCUUGCUCCCUGAUGUUAGCGGCGGACGGGUGAGUAACACGUGGGUAACCUGCCUGUAAGACUGGGAUAACUCCGGGAAACCGGGGCUAAUACCGGAUGGUUGUUUGAACCGCAUGGUUCAGACAUAAAAGGUGGCUUCGGCUACCACUUACAGAUGGACCCGCGGCGCAUUAGCUAGUUGGUGAGGUAACGGCUCACCAAGGCAACGAUGCGUAGCCGACCUGAGAGGGUGAUCGGCCACACUGGGACUGAGACGCAGCAGUAGGGAAUCUUCCGCAAUGGACGAAAGUCUGACGGAGCAACGCCGCGUGAGUGAUGAAGGUUUUCGGAUCGUAAAGCUCUGUUGUUAGGGAAGAACAAGUGCCGUUCAAAUAGGGCGGCACCUUGACGGUACCUAACCAGAAAGCCACGGCUAACUACGUGCCAGCAGCCGCGGUAAUACGUAGGUGGCAAGCGUUGUCCGGAAUUAUUGGGCGUAAAGGGCUCGCAGGCGGU